UAUUCAUAGAUUCCAGACAUUGUAUAGAAGAACAUUGUGAAACUCCCUGUCCUGUUCUGUUUCUCUCUGACCACCGGUACAUGCAGCCCCUGUCAUGUACCGCCUGCUUGCUCAAAUCAAUCACGACCCUUUCAUGUGAAAUCUUUAGUGUUAUGAGCCCUUAAAAGGGACAGAAAUUGUGCAUUCGGGGAGCUUGGAUUUUAAGGCAGUACCUUGCCAAUGCUCCCAGCUGAAUAAAGCCCUUCCUUCUACAACUAGGUGUCUGAGAGGUUUUGUCUGCGACUCGUCCUGCUACAUUUCUUGGUUCCCUGACCAGGAAGCGAGGUGACUGACGGACGGCCGAGGCAGCCCCUUAGGUGGCUUAAGCCUGCCCUGUGGAGCAUCCCUGAGGGGGACUCUGGCCAGCCUGAGUGAUGUGGUCCGAAGAGCGCUUGGGUAGGAAAUUGCCCCUGUGGAAUGCCUCGUCAGAGCAGCGCAUAGCAGGCCCCCACGGAGGAUUAACACAGUGGCUGAACACUGGGAAGGAACUGGCCCUUGGAGUCCAGACAUCUGAAACUUGAUGCAGAAAGCAAUAUUUAACUGAUCAGCUGCCACUCACAUCAUGAAUCAGAAGCAGCCUUAAAAGAAAGGAUCCCUUCUUGCUAUUUUGAAGGGAAAUAACUGAGUCCUUUGGAGCUGAAAAUGAAAAACUGAGUAGCUGGUGGAAGAAGCGAGAUGGGUUUGGAACUCACAGGCUAUGUUUCUGGAUGCAUCACAUUUGCAAGAGGGAAGUUUUGGUGUCCCUGUGGGUAUAUUAGCACUCCUUUACUCCAUUUCUCUGUAGCUACUCAAGCAAGUGACAAGCUGCAGAGUCCAAGAAAGGUGACAGAUAUGAAGAAAUGCAGUGGUUGCAAAGGACAAAGACAAUGGCAACACAAAUAAAAGAAAUUAUGAGAAGGAAAUAAAUAUUAAAAAAAAAACCCAAACGUUUGUUGAUGUAAACUGAAAAUAAAUUUGGAAUGAGCUGUGUGCACUUGGAAAUGAGAAGCUCUGUCCUGCACCAUGAAGGGCUUUGUGUGCAUCCAUGGGUUGCUUCUGCAUGCAGAAUGAGACUGGAACAAAAAAGAACCAUUUAAAACACAGGAUCCAGGUGAUUCAGGAUUUUAAAUUGAAGAUUGAUCAUACAAGCUGGAAGACGUCCCAUGACACUUUAUUUGAAAUUGGAACAUCAGAAUUUGGUUGGGUCUAUCUUUUACUAACUCUGUACCAUGAAAAAAUUAUUUAAUAUUUCUGAACUGUGUAAAGAAUAAAAUUAGAUUAUGAAUUCAA
rnacentral:lncRNA from 1 species